AUUUAGCUGGUGAGUCCAAAAUAGGACGAAACACGUGUCUUGAAU
rnacentral:hammerhead_ribozyme from 1 species